CCCCUCACCUUGAGGAUGUNNNNNNNNNNNNNNNNNNNNNNNNUGAUGCCAUUGAUGGUGAAGAUAAUAGAGGGCAGAGUAUUGACUGCAGAACAUGAAACAUAGUGCUGUUAGAGAGAGAGGGUUAGAGGUUGGCCAUGGUGAUCCUUGUUGUGUGUGGAGACUGGGAGUGACCCUAGGGCAUGACCCUUCACCUUGGAACCCACUGGCUUGGCACCAAUGAGCUUCUGUAUGUUAUUGACCAGUCUUCCUGGGCCUCAGAUAAGUGAUGUCCCAGUGUCCAUAAGGGCCGCACAGCCANNNNNNNNNNNNNNNNNNNNNNUUUUCAUGGUGAUGCUGAGAGACAAUGGAAGAAAGCGGGCAUCAAGGUCACUCUAGGUCUCCCCAGACUUGUCCCCUUCCCGACUGUCACCUAAAUAGCCUUUUGUCUCUCGCCCUUUUUCCCUUUGCUCUCGACACAGCACCUUUCUUGACAUCCUCGAAUACAGUGCUUGAAUACCCCAGGAUUUUUGUAUGUUGACACAAGCUGAUCUUCCGUCCUAGAAGACUCCACUCCACUUUGACAAGCAAAUUUCUCCUCAUCUCCCAGAUUCCACCUUAAUUGUAUUGUUUUCGGGAAGUCUCUCCCCCGGUGUUUAUCAGUCUCCUGUCUUGGUCUCUCUCUGUAGACCCCUCCUCAGGUCUGCUGCUGCUAACUUACUCAGUCGUGUCUGACUCUGUGUGACCUCAUAGAGGGCAGCCCACCAGGUUCCGCCAUCCCUGGGAUUGUCCAGGCAAGAGUACUGGAGUGGGUUGCCACUGCCUUCUCUUCUUCAUGUCUAGCAUGUACCAAAGUCACAAAGUGGGCGAGUCACUUCAUGUACAUCUGCCGCCUUAGAUGUGAGGGCGAGUUUUAUUCUCCUUGCCUCUCUUAAGUGCGUGGCACACAGUGGAUGCCCAAUGCUUGUCUGUUCAAUGAGUCUGUUCAAUGAGAAAACUGAGGAAACAAUAAGAAACCUCCAGAGAGCUGUAUCUGAUGAGGAACAAAUAACG
rnacentral:lncRNA from 1 species